rnacentral:lncRNA from 1 species
CUUCACUCUGUUGAUUGUUUCCUUUGCUGUGCAGAUAUAGUUUUAGUUUGAUGUAGUCCCAUUUGUUUGCUUUCAUUCUUAUUGUCUGUUCUUUUGAAGUCUUACCUGGAAAAUCUUUGCCUAGACCAAUGUCCUGAAGUGAUCCCCUUACGUUUGAAUAGACAUAUCUCAAAAGAAGACAUUCAAAUGGCCAGCAGGCAUAUGAAAAAAUGCUCAACAUUGCUAAUCAUUUGGAAAAUGAAAAUCAAAA